ensembl:lncRNA
CAACUCAGAAGUGGCUCCGAGACAAGUCUCUGAAUGUUCUUGAGUGGCCCAGCCAGGGCCCGGACUUAAGCCAGAUCAAACAUCUCUGGAAGAGCCCUGAAAAUAGCUGUGCAGUGACAAUCCUCAUCCAACCUGACAGAGCUUGAGAGGAUCUGCAGAGAAGAAUGGGAGAAACUCCCCAAAGAAUAAGGCUGCAACGUAUCAAAAUGUGGAAAAAGUGAAGGCGUCUGAAUACUUUCCGAAUGCACUGUACGUGGACAUCCCAUUGCUCCCAAGGGACUCAAGAGGAUUAUGUCAAAGGACCUGAGCCCUAGGACCAUGCCUCAGGACUACCUGGCAUGAUGACUCCUUGCUGUCCCCAGUCCACCUGGCCGUGCUACUGCUCCAGUUUCAACUGUUCUGCCUGUGAUUAUUAUUAUUUGACCAUGCUGGUCAUUUAUGAACAUUUGAACAUCUUGGCCAUGUUCUGUUAUAAUCUCCACCCGGCACAGCCAGAAGAGGACUGGCCACCCCACAUAGCCUGGUUCCUCUCUAGGUUUCUUCCUAGGUUUUGGCCUUUCUAGGGAGUUUUCCUAGCCACUGUGCUUCUACACCUGCAUUGCUUGCUGUUUGGGGUUUUAGACUGGGUUUCUGUACAGCACUUUGAUAUAUCAGCUGAUGUAAGAAGGGCUAUAUAAAUACAUUUGAUUUGAUUUGACUGUGUUCUUGGGGACCUUCAAUGCUGCAGAAAUGUUUUGGUACCCUUCCCCAGAUCUGUGCCUCAACACAAUCCUGUCUCGGAGCUCUACGGACAAUUCCUUCAACCUUAUGGCUUGGUUUUUACUCUGACAUAACCUGUUAACUGUGGGACCUUAUAUAGACAGGUAUGUGCCUUAGCAAAUCAUGUCAAACCAAUUGAAUUUACCACAGGUGGACUCCAAUCAAGUUGUAGAAACAUCUAAAGGAUAAUCAAUAGAAACAGUAUGCAC